AGUGAACGCUGGCGGUAGGCCUAACACAUGCAAGUCGAACGGCAGCACAGUAAGAGCUUGCUCUUACGGGUGGCGAGUGGCGGACGGGUGAGGAAUACAUCGGAAUCUACUUUUUCGUGGGGGAUAACGUAGGGAAACUUACGCUAAUACCGCAUACGACCUACGGGUGAAAGCAGGGGAUCUUCGGACCUUGCGCGAUUGAAUGAGCCGAUGUCGGAUUAGCUAGUUGGCGGGGUAAAGGCCCACCAAGGCGACGAUCCGUAGCUGGUCUGAGAGGAUGAUCAGACACAUUGGAACUGAGAAAAGGUCCAGAAUCCUAAGGGAGGCAGCAGUGGGGAAUAUUGGACAAUGGGCGCAAGCCUGAUCCAGCCAUACCGCGUGGGUGAAGAAGGCCUUCGGGUUGUAAAGCCCUUUUGUUGGGAAAGAAAAGCAGCAGGUUAAUACCCCGCUGUUCUGACGGUACCCAAAGAAUAAGCAACGGCUAACUUCGUG
rnacentral:rRNA from 1 species